GACUACAUGAAGCCGGAAUCGCUAGUAAUCGCGAAUCAGCCAUGGCGCGGUGAAUACGUUCCCGGGGCCUUGUACACACCGCCCGUCAAGCCAUGGGAGCCGGGGGCGCCUGAAGUCCGGGACCGCGAGGACCGGCCUAGGGCGAAACUGGUAACUGGGGCUAAGUCGUAACAAGGUAGC
rnacentral:rRNA from 1 species